GCUGACACAUCCCGGCCCAUCUCCAGCAGACCCUCCCUCCCAGACCCUCCUACUUCCUGGACAGCAUCCAUGUUGAAGCUGCCUUCAACAUGGAUGCUGUCCAGGAAGUAGGAGGGUCUGGGAGGGAGGGUCUGCUGGAGAUUGGCCGGGAUGUGUCAG